CAGUCGAACGAAGCACUUUAUUUGAUUUCUUCGGAAUGAAGAUUUUGUGACUGAGUGGCGGACGGGUGAGUAACGCGUGGGUAACCUGCCUCAUACAGGGGGAUAACAGCUGGAAGCGACUGCUAAUACCGCAUAAGCGCACAGGGUCGCAUGACCUGGUGUGAAAAACUCCGGUGGUAUGAGAUGGACCCGCGUCUGAUUAGCCAGUUGGUGGGGUAACGGCCUACCAAAGCGACGAUCAGUAGCCGACCUGAGAGGGUGACCGGCCACAUUGGGACUGAGACACGGCCCAAACUCCUACGGGAGGCAGCAGUGGGGAAUACUGCACAAUGGGGGAAACCCUGAUGCAGCGACGCCGCGUGAGCGAAGAAGUAUUUCGGUAUGUAAAGCUCUAUCAGCAGGGAAGAAGAAAUGACGGUACCUGACUAAGAAGCACCGGCUAAAUACGUGCCAGCAGCCGCGGUAAUACGUAUGGUGCAAGCGUUAUCCGGAUUUACUGGGUGUAAAGGGAGCGCAGGCGGUACGGCAAGUCUGAUGUGAAAGCCCGGGGCUCAACCCCGGUACUGCAUUGGAAACUGUCGGACUAGAGUGUCGGAGGGGUAAGUGGAAUUCCUAGUGUAGCGGUGAAAUGCGUAGAUAUUAGGAGGAACACCAGUGGCGAAGGCGGCUUACUGGACUGUAACUGACGUUGAGGCUCGAAAGCGUGGGGAGCAAACAGGA
rnacentral:rRNA from 1 species